GACGAACGCUGGCGGCGUGCUUAACACAUGCAAGUCGAACGGUGACGAGGAGCUUGCUCCUCUGAUCAGUGGCGAACGGGUGAGUAACACGUGAGCAACCUGCCCCAGACUCUGGGAUAACAGUUGGAAACAGCUGCUAAUACCGGAUACGAGGCGGAGAGGCAUCUCUACCGUCUGGAAAGUUUUUCGGUCUGGGAUGGACUCGCGGCCUAUCAGCUAGUUGGUGAGGUAAUGGCUCACCAAGGCGACGACGGGUAGCCGGCCUGAGAGGGCGACCGGCCACACUGGGACUGAGACACGGCCCAGACUCCUACGGGAGGCAGCAGUGGGGAAUAUUGCACAAUGGGCGAAAGCCUGAUGCAGCGACGCCGCGUGAGGGAUGAAGGCCUUCGGUUGUAACGUACUUCUAGCAGGAGAAG
rnacentral:rRNA from 1 species